GCCGUUGUAGCUCAGGGGUAGAGCAUCGCAUUCGUAAUGCGAGGGUCGUAGGUUCAAAUCCUAUCAACGGCACCA
rnacentral:tRNA from 2 species